UGAAACAGAUACGUUUGGUCCUGGAGAUAAUGAUGAAAUCCAGUUUGAUGAUAUUGGAGAUGACGAUGAAGACAUUGAUGAUAUCUAAAUUGAACAUGGUUUCUGAGGAUUGUUCUGCAAUUUGGAUUUUGGCUAUCACCUGUUAAAAGAAGAUCUAAAACAUCAUUUAGUAUGAAUGUAUUUGGUUAAGACAUGCUGAUUUAUUUUCAUUGUUUAAAAGUAUUAUAUUUCUCUAAAAACUGAUUUAGCUGAAUUAUUUAAGUGAAAUUUUAUUGUUUGGAUAUAAUGGAACUUAGGGGCAAAGACUAUAAUACCUGCUGUUAAACAGUAGAGAGAAACGAAGAAGAAAUGUCUUUUCCACUGUGACUAUUUAUUCUAGUUAAUAGGUGUUUUGAAUAAAUUGCCUUACCAUCAUAGGUUUCGGUAAACCAUGUUCCAGCUAGUAUGUUAACAGAAUCUUUAUGUAUAUUCGAGUUACCUAGAUGUUCUGUAAGAUUUUUGAUAUAAUUUAAGGAAGGUGGAAGUCCACACUUAAAGUCAAGAAAGGGGGCUAUUUUCAUAUUUACGUAGCCAUAUGUAUUUCAUUCUAAGCUUGAUAACUUACACAUUACUUUCAUCAUUUUAUGUUGCCACCAUCAUAAAAGAAAAAGCGUUUCCAAAUUGCAGUUUUAGGACACCAGUUUAAAUAACAUUUUUCAAUUUGUAAUGUUAGUAGUUGCAAAAAUUCAGGGCUAGGAAACCUGGUUAUCUUUAUAUUUGAAGUAUUGACAUAUAAGUUGGUAGUGUUUUUACUUAAUAUUUAUAGAAAAUUUUUCAAGUAAGAUAGCUCUGAUUGUGAAAUAAGUAGGAUAUUUCUUACACAGGAAAGGUUAUGUUAACAUAUGUGAUUUAUUGUCAGAGUCAUAUGCAUUGUAACUCAUAAUUUUGGACUUUAUGAGCAAUUAAAUUACAAUGUAUAAUGAAAAACUAAUUUUAUAAUAACUUCCAUAAGGUAAGUUUUUCUUACACUAUCCCUUAGCUGGGGUAACGGGAACCACCACUGAGAAAUAUAGUAAAAUGUGUUGUUGAGUGUGUUUUUC